GGCAGAAGAGCAAGACAUGGUCCUGGUGCAUGAAAGGAGCCUAAGAAAGAAGAGUGAAAGCUGCACGUGUGUGAGUAUCUAGCAGAACAUCUAGAAAAUGCACACCAACCUCCAGCAGCAGAAAACAGUCUACCUCCAGAAAGCCAUAAAAGAGAAAAGAAUGUUGUACCAAACUAAGCAAAUGAAGCAUGAAAUGAAAAGCCGGUUGAGCUGGGAGGUAUAAAGAAUGGAAAGGAAGCAGCUACCACCCCUGGUAACCCCAUCAAUCCGGAGAAGCUUCGCAGAGUUACACUGUGCUCUGUCGGGAAGGAAAUGAAUUUUCCUCAUUGUACACAUUCCGAGAAAAAUGAGGCUAAGACUAUUUCAAAGGAUGUUCUACCUAAUUCGAAUGGGCUUUAAGUGCCAUCUUCACAAUAGCGCCAGAGUCUGGUGUCAGCAAACUGAACAAAUAGAGCUACAGGGAGCGAAUGGGGCUGGGUGCCUCUCCAAAACAUAUGCAGAUGAACUUGAGAUUUCAGAGGACGGUUAAUCCUACACAGCAGUCAAGUGCCUUCCCAGGGGUAUGUCUCAGAUCUCAGGGCUCCCUUCCAAACACUGGCUGCCACGUCAAACCAAAGGGGACGAGCAAUCAGACUCACCUCAAACGCCAGUUAAGAAAGCCGGCCUUACUUAAGCAAUCAAGGGCAAGUGAUCAGCCAACUCUGCUUUCUUUCCUUUCUCUUGGAUCAUUUAUAGACCUUGUGGCCGUGGCCACCACAUUGAGAAGCCCUUGGUCUCUACUUGGACUCACUAUAGCAGAGCAUCCUGGCAGGCAUCCACUGUGCCAUAUGCUUUCGGGAAGUCUGGAUGCUGAAUGUGGUGGCUGUGGGGAAUUGAGCCUUAUUGCUUCAUAAGAUUCCUGGUGGUAGAACUAUUCUGAACAAGAACACGUCCGUCCCCAUAGGUGUGCUCCAAGAAUCACAGAAUAAGAAGGGACUUCGGAGAGAGCCUCACACAGUUGGGCAAUGGGAGCCCAGAGAGGCAAGGAAGGCUCCUUGCCCAAAGUCUUGUACAUCUGAAUCUGCAACUCCUGACUAUUUUUGAGUCUUAUGCUCCAGGCUAAAACUUGUGACUUUAAGUGUGAUGUUCUCGGUGAUGAUUAAUCUAGGAUGUUUCUGUUGUUUUCUUACCGUCAAAGAAUUAACAUCAAAAGGAAAGGAAGGAAGAAAUGUAGAAGUGAAGGCAAGAAGGAAGGAAGGAGGAAAGGAAGGAAGGAAAAUAUAGGCUUUGGGUAAAAAUAAGUUUCUACUCAACACUGACAAAGGUACAGGUUUUGGACAUUGGUUUCCUAAUCUGUAAAUGAGGAAUAGUCAUCACAUCGCUGUCCUGGCUGGUUUUGUGUGUCAACUUGACACAAGCUGGAGUUAUCACAGAGAAAGGAAAGAAAAUGCCUCCAUGAGAUCUAGCUGUAAAUGGAUUAGUGAUCAAGAGUGGGAGGGCCCAGUGUGGGUGGUGCCAUCCCUGGACUGGUGGUCCUGGGUUCUACAAGAAAACAAGCUGAGCAAGCCAGGGGAAGCAAGCCAGGGGAACAUCCCUCCACGGCUCUGCAUCAGCUCCUGCUUCCUGCCCUGUGUGAGUUCCAGUCCUGACUUCCUUUGGUGACGAACAGCAAUGUGAUAGUAUAAGCUGAAUAAACCCUUUCCUCCCCAAC
rnacentral:lncRNA from 1 species